ensembl:lncRNA
UACUUGCCUCUCCCACUCUAUAGCUGAUGAAUUUGGGCAAAUGUUCUGAGUUUUAAAAACGAUCCUAUCGUGGCUGCAAAGCAUCUGGUACCAUGCAUGUUUCCUUGGAGAUGCUCAACGCCUAGUGGCUGUGACAGGUGUUAAUGUUUUGCAGUUUCCACGGUGCUUUCAUUUGUCUUUUCUCAUUGGAUCUUCAAUGAGGUGGGAGGGCAAGUUUGAUGUCUCUAUUUAAAAACAGAUAAAACUGACACUCAGCACAGCCUAGUCCCCCGGGAUGGACCCCCUUGGGGGCGGAGUGUUUCUGGUCCCUGGGUGACGCUGUACCACAGAUAGAGCCCUUGGGAAGGGAACUUACUUGAAAGAGCAACCAUUCCUGCCUUAGUUUUACUUCCAGUCCUACCCGUCCAACAGAAGGACCACGUGGUCAAGAACAGACCGUGAUUACAGACCUGCAUCCAGAGAGGGUGUUUUCACGUUCCAGUCGGACCUGGAGAGAUAAGUGAUGGCAGGACAGAGCAGAUCCAGGAAAUAAUGUUUCUCUAUCCAUUGCCUCAAAGGAAAUUGGAAAACAAGCGUGUCAAUGCCCGGCUGAUGAAGUGUAUGUGGAAAAAAAGAGAACACGCAAAGUAGAGGGAUCCAGCGUGCGUUCUUUGGUUCGACAACUCGACUUUCCACAAGGUCUUUUCAAAACGAGCUUCCAGGGACAGUGCCAAGGACUUAAGAGCUGGCGGCGUCGGCCUGAACCCCGCAACUAGGCAGGUUCCCAGGAGGCUUGAAUGAGGGGGUCACAGCGCGGAUCUCCCUCUCCCCCACGCAGUCUUUGUGAGUUAUUGCCAGCGAGGGGCACAAAAGGACCGCAGGACCCAAAAUGCCGGAGUGGGAGGGGAGAUGUAGCGACUGCGACUGGCCGCCGCGGUUUUUUGAGCCCCUCAGGCUGAAACUCGCCCUGUGGGACCGGGAAACCCACGCCUUCACCCUCCCGGGCCCAGGGACACCACGCCUCAACGCGCUCGCCUGCAGAGGUGUGCAAGGAGAACUGACCCCCUGGGGCUGCCGUCGUCUGCGAAACACAAAGGCCGGAAGUACAUCGGCGUCAGCCUGGCCUGGCGCCCUCUCUAGGACCCUGGAUGCCCCACAGCUCAGUGGUUCUCCAGACCCGAAGCUGGUGGGUGGAGGGAUCUGACCUGGGGAUACCCAGGGCGUGUGUGUGCCCUCCUGCAGGGGCGGCAAAGGGCUCGCAGGAACA